rnacentral:rRNA from 1 species
UACAGAGGUCUCAAGCGUUGUUCGGAUUCAUUGGGCGUAAAGGGUGCGUAGGCGGCGCGGUAAGUCGGGUGUGAAAUCUCGGAGCUUAACUCCGAAACUGCAUUCGAUACUGCCGUGCUUGAGGACUGGAGAGGAGACUGGAAUUUACGGUGUAGCGGUGAAAUGCGUAGAUAUCGAGAAGAACGCUCGCAGCGAAAGCGAAGCUCUGGGCAAAUUCUGACGCUGAUGCACGAAGGCUAGGGGAGCAAACGGG